UUUCCGUAGGUGAACCUGCGGAAGGAUCAUUAAUGAGUUAGGGUCUUCUAGGCUCGAUCUCCAACCCUUUGUAUAACUACCAUGUUGCUUUGGCGGGCCCGUCUCUAACCGGACCGCCGAGGGUUUUGUUAACCCUUGGUCAGUGCUCGUCAGUAGCCCACACACAAAUUCUUUUAACCAUGUUAAAUCUGAAAAUAGUUAAAUAAACUAAAACUUUCAACAACGGAUCUCUUGGUUCUGGCAUCGAUGAAGAACGCAGC
rnacentral:misc_RNA from 1 species